CCCAGGCUUCAGUGACCUUGGAGGCCACGGGCCUGCAGAGCACGCAAGCCAAACCGCCCUCCCGGUCUGUGUGGGGUAAACACUGCUGUCUCACACUCACACUCACACACACACACACACACACAAGAAAGCAUAUAUUUACUUAAUGGACACACUCAAAAACUGGAGGACGCCACAUAAUGUUCAGAAAUGGCAAAGUGGACAUGCAGUCCAGCCCAGCAAAAACCAGCCAGAAUUGAGGGUCAGCUGCCUUCUUUUGAGGGGCGGCCACUCUCUGGUGCCUGCAUCACUUAGGCAUGGCUCACACCGGGGCCAAAAGGCCUCAGGUUUGCUUCUCUCCCAACUUGGUGUGAUGGUUAAGAGCACCAGACGUGGGCUUUGGAAGGCAUGUUAUCAAAUCCCGGCUCUGCCACUUUUAAGCUGUGUGACCUUAGGGAGGUUGUUUAACUUCCUGCGCCUUAGUUUCAUUGUCUGUCUUACAGAGAUGAUCAUAGUGACCUGCUUCACAAGGUUUUUUCUGAUACCAGGAUAUUUUCUGCUGUUUGUAUUUAAGAAGAUCAACACCAGGGCCGUAACACAGCAAGCCUAAUUGGACCAAUGAGGGGCUGCGGCCAGGAAACAGAGAUGAUUGUCUUACAUCAGCCAGUCUUGGUGGCCAAUAAAGGAGAACAGCUGCA